AGAGUUUGAUCCUGGCUCAGAACGAACGCUGGCGGCAGGCUUAACACAUGCAAGUCGAGCGCCCCGCAAGGGGAGCGGCAGACGGGUGAGUAACGCGUGGGAAUCUACCCAGCUCUACGGAAUAACUCAGGGAAACUUGUGCUAAUACCGUAUACGUCCGAUAGGAGAAAGAUUUAUCGGAGUUGGAUGAGCCCGCGUUGGAUUAGCUAGUUGGUGGGGUAAAGGCCUACCAAGGCGACGAUCCAUAGCUGGUCUGAGAGGAUGAUCAGCCACACUGGGACUGAGACACGGCCCAGACUCCUACGGGAGGCAGCAGUGGGGAAUAUUGGACAAUGGGCGCAAGCCUGAUCCAGCCAUGCCGCGUGAGUGAUGAAGGCCCUAGGGUUGUAAAGCUCUUUCACCGGUGAAGAUAAUGACGGUAACCGGAGAAGAAGCCCCGGCUAACUUCGUGCCAGCAGCCGCGGUAAU
rnacentral:rRNA from 1 species